UUUCCACAGCUAAACAUCAGACUCUUACUUAACAUGGGCAAGGAAAGGACCAGCGUCAACAUGGCCGUCGUCGGCUACUACUAGAUCUUCCAUCAGCAGAUGGACGGCUAGUACAACACGGACAUGACCCGGCUUCUGUACACGGACACACUCUGGACACGGACAACACGAUGCUAGCUCUCCCGGACCACAGCUAAUUCUAUUUGUAGGCCUACAUUGACCAAAUAAAUCAAAAUUAUCCGUA